rnacentral:rRNA from 2 species
AAAUUGAAGAGUUUGAUCAUGGCUCAGAUUGAACGCUGGCGGCAGGCCUAACACAUGCAAGUCGAGCGGAAACGACACUAACAAUCCUU